GCUCAGGAUGAACGCUAGCUACAGGCUUAACACAUGCAAGUCGAGGGGCAGCAUGGUCUUAGCUUGCUAAGGCCGAUGGCGACCGGCGCACGGGUGAGUAACACGUAUCCAACCUGCCGUCUACUCUUGGACAGCCUUCUGAAAGGAAGAUUAAUACAAGAUGGCAUCAUGAGUCCACAUGUUCACAUGAUUAAAGGUAUUCCGGUAGACGAUGGGGAUGCGUUCCAUUAGAUAGUAGGCGGGGUAACGGCCCACCUAGUCUUCGAUGGAUAGGGGUUCUGAGAGGAAGGUCCCCCACAUUGGAACUGAGACACGGUCCAAACUCCUACGGGAGGCAGCAGUGAGGAAUAUUGGUCAAUGGGCGAGAGCCUGAACCAGCCAAGUAGCGUGAAGGAUGACUGCCCUAUGGGUUGUAAACUUCUUUUAUAAAGGAAUAAAGUCGGGUAUGCAUACCCGUUUGCAUGUACUUUAUGAAUAAGGAUCGGCUAACUCCGUGCCAGCAGCCGCGGUAAUACGGAGGAUCCGAGCGUUAUCCGGAUUUACUGGGUUUAAAGGGAGCGUAGAUGGAUGUUUAAGUCAGUUGUGAAAGUUUGCGGCUCAACCGUAAAAUUGCAGUUGAUACUGGAUAUCUUGAGUGCAGUUGAGGCAGGCGGAAUUCGUGGUGUAGCGGUGAAAUGCUUAGAUAUCACGAAGAACUCCGAUUGCGAAGGCAGCCUGCUAAGCUGCAACUGACAUUGAGGCUCGAAAGCGUGGGUAUCAAACAGGAUUAGAUACCCUGGUAGUCCACACGGUAAACGAUGAAUACUCGCUGUUUGCAAUAUACUGCAAGCAGCCAAGCGAAAGCGUUAAGUAUUCCACCUGGGGAGUACGCCGGCAACGGUGAAACUCAAAGGAAUUGACGGGGGCCCGCACAAGCGGAGGAACAUGUGGUUUAAUUCGAUGAUACGCGAGGAACCUUACCCGGGCUUAAAUUGCAGAUGAAUUACGGUGAAAGCCGUAAGCCGCAAGGCAUCUGUGAAGGUGCUGCAUGGUUGUCGUCAGCUCGUGCCGUGAGGUGUCGGCUUAAGUGCCAUAACGAGCGCAACCCUUGUUGUCAGUUACUAACAGGUUCUGCUGAGGACUCUGACAAGACUGCCAUCGUAAGAUGUGAGGAAGGUGGGGAUGACGUCAAAUCAGCACGGCCCUUACGUCCGGGGCUACACACGUGUUACAAUGGGGGGUACAGAGGGCCGCUACCACGCGAGUGGAUGCCAAUCCCAAAAACCUCUCUCAGUUCGGACUGGAGUCUGCAACCCGACUCCACGAAGCUGGAUUCGCUAGUAAUCGCGCAUCAGCCACGGCGCGGUGAAUACGUUCCCGGGCCUUGUACACACCGCCCGUCAAGCCAUGGGAGCCGGGGGUACCUGAAGUGCGUAACCGCGGGGAGCGCCCUAGGGUAAAACUGGUGAC
rnacentral:rRNA from 1 species